rnacentral:rRNA from 1 species
UACAGAGGAGCCAAGCGUUGUCCGGAUUGACUGGGCGUAAAGCGCACGCAGGCGGACGCGCGCGUGGGGUGUGAAAUCUGGCCGCUUAACGGCCAGGCGCCAUCCCAUACGGCGCGUCUGGAGCCUUGCAGAGGUCGGUGGAAUUGCCGGUGUAGCGGUGAAAUGCGUAGAGAUCGGGAGGAAGGCCGGUGGCGAAGGCGGCGCUCUGGAACAUUUCUGACGCUGAGGCUCGAAAGCGUGGGGAGCAAACAGG